UACGUAGGGCGCGAGCGUUGUCCGGAAUUAUUGGGCGUAAAGAGCGCGUAGGCGGCCCGGUAAGUCUGCUGUAAAAGUCAAAGGCUUAACCUUUGAAAGUCAGUGGAUACUGCCGGGCUAGAGUCCGGAAGAGGCGAGUGGAACUCCUGGUGUAGCGGUGGAAUGCGCAGAUAUCAGGAGGAACACCGAUGGCGAAGGCAGGUCUCUGGGCCGCAACUGACGCUGAGGAGCGAAAGCAUGGGGAGCGAACAGG
rnacentral:rRNA from 1 species